rnacentral:rRNA from 1 species
UGGGGAAUAUUGCACAAUGGGCGGAAGCCUGAUGCAGCGACGCCGCGUGAGGGAUGACGGCCUUCGGGUUGUAAACCUCUUUCAGCAGGGACGAAGCGAGAGUGACGGUACCUGCAGAAGAAGCGCCGGCCAACUACGUGCCAGCAGCCGCGGUAAGACGUAGGGCGCGAGCGUUGUCCGGAUUUAUUGGGCGUAAAGAGCUCGUAGGCGGCUUGUUGCGUCGUCCGUGAAAACCUGGGGCUCAACUCCAGGCUUGCGGUCGAUACGGGCAGGCUAGAGUUCGGUAGGGGAGACUGGAAUUCCUGGUGUAGCGGUGAAAUGCGCAGAUAUCAGGAGGAACACCGGUGGCGAAGGCGGGUCGUCUGGGCCGAGUACUGACGCUGAGGAGCGAAAGCGUGGGGAGCGAACAGGAUUAGAUACCCUGGUAGUCCACGCUGUAAACGUUGGGCGCUAGGUGUGGGGGCCGUCGUCCGGUUUCCUCGCGCCGUAGCUAACGCA